rnacentral:rRNA from 1 species
AUUGAACGCUGGCGGCAUGCCUUACACAUGCAAGUCGAACGGCAGCAUGGGUGCUUGCACCUGAUGGCGAGUGGCGAACGGGUGAGUAAUGCAUCGGAACGUACCCGGAAGUGGGGGAUAACGUAGCGAAAGUUACGCUAAUACCGCAUAUUCUGUGAGCAGGAAAGCGGGGGAUCGCAAGACCUCGCGCUUCCGGAGCGGCCGAUGUCGGAUUAGCUAGUUGGCGGGGUAAAGGCCCACCAAGGCAACGAUCCGUAGCGGGUCUGAGAGGAUGAUCCGCCACACUGGGACUGAGACACGGCCCAGACUCCUACGGGAGGCAGCAGUGGGGAAUUUUGGGACAAUGGGGGCAACCCUGAUCCAGCCAUGCCGCGUGAGUGAAGAAGGCCUCGGUUCGUAAGUACGUCUUCGGUCGUCGGUAGGAAAGUACGACAUCUCCUAACUACGGGUAGGUGGUAGUGUACGGUACGUACGACGACUAAAGAAGAACGACCGGACCGUAACUAACCGUACGACCGUACGCCG